UUUGAUCCUGGCUCAGAACGAACGCUGGCGGCAGGCCUAACACAUGCAAGUCGAGCGCACUCUUCGGAGUGAGCGGCGGACGGGUUAGUAACGCGUGGGAAUAUACCCUUUUNUACGGAAUAGCCUCGGGAAACUGAGAGUAAUACCGUAUACGCCCUUCGGGGGAAAGAUUUAUCGGUGAAGGAUUAGCCCGCGUAAGAUUAGAUAGUUGGUGGGGUAAUGGCCUACCAAGUCUACGAUCUUUAGCUGGUUUGAGAGGAUGAUCAGCAACACUGGGACUGAGACACGGCCCAGACUCCUACGGGAGGCAGCAGUGGGGAAUCUUAGACAAUGGGCGCAAGCCUGAUCUAGCCAUGCCGCGUGAGUGACGAAGGCCUUAGGGUCGUAAAGCUCUUUCGCCAGAGAUGAUAAUGACAGUAUCUGGUAAAGAAACCCCGGCUAACUCCGUGCCAGCAGCCGCGGUAAUAAGGG
rnacentral:rRNA from 1 species